AGAACGAACGCUGGCGGCAGGCUUAACACAUGCAAGUCGAACGCGUGUAGCAAUACACGAGUGGCGCACGGGUGAGUAACGCGUGGAUAUCUGCCUUUUGGUUCGGAAUAACCCCGGGAAACUGGGGCUAAUACCGGAUGGUUCCUACGGGAUAAAGAUUUAUCGCCAAAAGAUGAGUCCGCGUACGAUUAGCUUGUUGGUGAGGUAACGGCUCACCAAGGCGACGAUCGGUAGCUGGUCUGAGAGGAUGACCAGCCUCACUGGGACUGAGACACGGCCCAGACUCCUACGGGAGGCAGCAGUGGGGAAUAUUGGACAAUGGGCGCAAGCCUGAUCCAGCCAUGCCGCGUGGGUGAUGAAGGCCCUAGGGUUGUAAAGCCCUUUCGGCGGGGAAGAUAAUGACGGUACCCGCAGAAGAGCCCCGGCUAACUUCGUGCCAGCAGCCGC
rnacentral:rRNA from 1 species